rnacentral:lncRNA from 1 species
AGUGAUGGCAGGUCAUUUACAGCAGAUUGAAAUUUGACGGCCCAUUUGAUGGUGACAAGUCCGGUCCCUGGGGGCCCUCUGCAGCGCUAAAGACGGCGUGAUGAAAUAGCAGAGGAUAGAAUUGGGAGAAUGUGGCAGAACUCUGACUUCCAUCAAUCACUGUUGAGCCUGCCAGUUUGGGUUGAAUGGCCAGAACAGAGCGGCACUAGCCCAGCUGUCCGGAUUCACAAAGGGUGCAACCAGCGUCUUUUGGUGAACAAUGAAACACAGACA